AAUGAACGCUGGCGGCGUGCUUAACACAUGCAAGUCGAGCGAGGCCAGGGGGGCAACUCCCUGAGUCGAGCGGCGGACGGGUGAGUAACACGUGGGUAACCUACCCGGAAGUGGGGAGUACCUCGGGGAAACUCGAGCUAAUACCGCAUGACAUCUUUGGGACGAAAGUCCUGACGAUCAAAGCGGGGUCGCAAGAUCUCGCGCUACCGGAUGGGCCCGCGCCCGAUUAGCUAGUUGGUGAGGAACGGCUCACCAAGGCGACGAUCGGUAACCGGCCUGAGAGGGCGAUCGGUCACACCGGAACUGAGACACGGUCCGGACUCCUACGGGAGGCAGCAGUGGGGAAUCUUGCGCAAUGGGCGAAAGCCUGACGCAGCAACGCCGCGUGGAGGAUGAAGGCCCUUGGGUUGUAAACUCCUGUCGGCUGGGAAGAAGUUGUUCGCGACUAAUACUCGCGGACAUUGACUGUACCAGCAAAGGAAGCCCC
rnacentral:rRNA from 1 species